rnacentral:rRNA from 1 species
CAAGGUUUCCGUAGGUGAACC